UACGGAGGGUGCAAGCGUUAUCCGGAUUUAUUGGGCGUAAAGAGCUCGUAGGCGGUUCGGUAAGUCGGGUGUGAAAACUUUGGGCUCAACCCAAAGCCUGCACUCGAUACUGCUGUGACUUGAGUCCGGUAGGGGAGUGGGGAAUUCCUGGUGUAGCGGUGGAAUGCGCAGAUAUCAGGAGGAACACCCGUGGCGAAAGCGGCUCUCUGGGACGGUACUGACGCUGAGACGCGAAAGCGUGGGGAGCAAACAGG
rnacentral:rRNA from 1 species